GAGGAUUACACUGUCUCCCCCUCUAAAUCAAUGAAACUGAUCCCCCCGUGAAGAAGCGGGGAUAAAUAUAUAAGACGAGAAGACCCUAUGGAGCUUUAAACUAAACACCACUUACCUUCUACCACUCCCUUACAAACAGGUAAAGAUCGUGUGUGUUUUCAGUUGGGGUGACUGCGGAGCAAAAUAAAACCUCCACGAUGAAAUAACCCUUUAAUCUAAGAACAACAUUUCAAAGAAUCAACAAAUUGACAUAAAUUGACCCAAAUACUAAUUUGAUCAACGAACCAAGUUACCCUAGGGAUAACAGCGCAAUCCAUUUCAAGAGCUCAUAUCGAC
rnacentral:rRNA from 1 species